rnacentral:rRNA from 1 species
GACGAACGCUGGCGGCGUGCCUAAUACAUGCAAGUCGAGCGAAAAGACGCGGAGCUUGCUCCUCUGACGUUAGCGGCGGACGGGUGAGUAACACGUGGAUAACCUCCCUAUAAGACUGGGAUAACUUCGGGAAUCCGGAGCUAAUACCGGAUAAUAUAUUGAACCGCAUGGUUCAAUAGUGAAAGACGGUUUUGCUGUCUCUUAUAGAUGGAUCCGCGCCGCAUUAGCUAGUUGGUAAGGUAACGGCUUACCAAGGCGACGAGGCGUAGCCGACCUGCGAGGGGGAUCGGCCACACGGGAACGGAGACGCGGACCAGACUCCUACGGGAGGCAGCAGUAGGGAAUCGGCCGCAAUGGGCGAAAGCCUGACGGAGCAACGCCGCGUGAGUGAUGAAGGUCUUCGGAUCGUAAAACUCUGUUAUUAGGGAAGAACAAAUGUGUAAGUAACUAUGCACGUCGUGACGGUACCUAAUCAGAAAGCCACGGCUAACUACGUG